GACCUCCCGGGAAGUCCUCG
rnacentral:snRNA from 1 species